UACGUAGGGGGCAAGCGUUGUCCGGAAUCAUUGGGCGUAAAGCGCGUGUAGGCGGCUCGAUAAGUCUGCUGUGAAAGCCCAGGGCUCAACCCUGGGAUGCCGGUGGAUACUGUCGAGCUCGAGUCCGGAAGAGGCGAGUGGAAUUCCUGGUGUAGCGGUGAAAUGCGCAGAUAUCAGGAGGAACACCAAUGGCGAAGGCAGCUCGCUGGGACGUGACUGACGCUGAGACGCGAAAGCGUGGGGAGCAAACAGG
rnacentral:rRNA from 1 species